rnacentral:siRNA from 1 species
AACCUCUUCCUCUUCGACAAAC